rnacentral:rRNA from 1 species
GAUUAACGCUGGCGGCAUGCCUAAUACAUGCAAGUCGAACGAAGCAUUUAUGCUUAGUGGCGAACGGGUGAGUAAUGAAUAUCUAAUCUGCCCCAAUGUGAGGAAUAACCAUAGGAAACUGUGGCUAAUACCUCAUAGGAUAUAAAGAGGCAUCUCUUUAUGUUUAAAGGUGCGUUUGCACCGCUUUGGGAUGAGGAUAUUUUACAUUAGGUUGUUGGUGAGGUAAAGGCUCACCAAGCCUAUGAUGUAUAGCCGGACUGAGAGGUCGAUCGGCCACAAUGGGACUGAGACACGGCCCAUACUCCUACGGGAGGCAGCAGUAGGGAAUUUUCCACAAUGAGCGAAAGCUUGAUGGAGCAAUGCCGCGUGAGGGAUGACAGUCUUCGGAUUGUAAACCUCUGUUAUAAGGGAAGAAAAAUUAGAAUAGGAAAUGAUUUUAAUCUGACAUUACCUUAUCAGAAAGUCACGGCUAACUAUG